rnacentral:rRNA from 1 species
AAUGAACGUUGGCGGCGUGGCUUAGGCAUGCAAGUCGAGCGAGAACCCCGCAAGGGGGGACAGCGGCGAAAGGGACAGUAAUGUGUAGAUUAUCUGCCCUCAGGUCCGGGAUAGCUGCGGGAAACUGCAGGUAAUACCGGAUAACAUCUCCGGAUCAAAGGUGUGAUUCCGCCUGAGGAUGAGUCUGCAUCCUAUUAGCUAGUUGGUGGGGUAAUGGCCUACCAAGGCAUUGAUGGGUAGCAGGUGUGAGAGCACGACCUGCGUCAUUGGGACUGAGACACUGCCCAGACACCUACGGGUGGCUGCAGUCGAGAAUCUUCGGCAAUGGGCGCAAGCCUGACCGAGCGACGCCGCGUGUGGGAUGAAGGCCUUCGGGUUGUAAACCACUGUCAGAGGGGAUGAAAUGCAGGUGGGUUCUCCCAUCUGUUUGACAUAGCCUCAGAGGAAGAACGGGCUAAGUUCGUG